rnacentral:rRNA from 1 species
GNUCAGAACGAACGCUGGCGGCAUGCCUUAUACAUGCAAGUCGAACGAGAAAGUCACUUCGGUGGCGAGUAGAGUGGCGCACGGGUGAGUAACGCGUAGAUGAUCUACCCUUCAGUCUGGGACAACUCUUGGAAACGAGAGCUAAUACCGGAUAAAACCUUCGGGUUGAAAGCUUUAGUGCUGGAGGAUGAGUCUGCGUACCAUUAGCUUGUUGGUGGGGUAAAAGCCUACCAAGGCGACGAUGGUUAGCGGGUCUGAGAGGACGAUCCGCCACACUGGAACUGAGACACGGUCCAGACUCCUACGGGAGGCAGCAGUAGGGAAUAUUGCGCAAUGGGGGAAACCCUGACGCAGCAAUGCCGCGUGAGUGAAGAAGGCCCUCGGGUCGUAAAGCUCUUUUAUGGGGGAAGAUGAUGACGGUACCCCAUGAAUAAGCACCGGCUAACUACGUGCCAGCAGCCGCGGUAAUACGUAGGGUGCGAGCGUUGUUCGGAAUUACUGGGCGUAAAGGGCGUGCAGGCGGAUUGGUAAGCCGGAGGUGAAAGCCCGGGGCUCAACCCCGGAGGGUCUUUCGGAACUGCCAGUCUUGAGAGGGUCAGGGGCCAGCGGAAUUCCUGGUGUAGAGGUGAAAUUCGUAKAGAUCAGGAGGAACACCGGCGGCGAAAGCGGCUGGCUGGGGCCACUCUGACGCUGAGGCGCGAAAGCGUGGGGAGCAAACAGGAUUAGAUACCCUGGUAGUCCACGCCGUAAACGAUGGGCUANA